rnacentral:rRNA from 1 species
GACGAACGCUGGCGGCGUGCUUAACACAUGCAAGUCGAACGGAAAGGCCCUGCUUUUGUGGGGUGCUCGAGUGGCGAACGGGUGAGUAACACGUGAGUCACCUGCCCUUGACUUUGGGAUAUCUUCAGGAAACUGGGGCUAAUACCGGAUAGGAGCUCCUGCCGCAUGGUGGGGGUUGGAAAGUUUCGGCGGUUGGGGAUGGACUCGCGGCUUAUCAGCUUGUUGGUGGGGUAGUGGCUUACCAAGGCUUUGACGGGUAGCCGGCCUGAGAGGGUGACCGGCCACAUUGGGACUGAGAUACGGCCCAGACUCCUACGGGAGGCAGCAGUGGGGAAUAUUGCACAAUGGGCGGAAGCCUGAUGCAGCAACGCCGCGUGCGGGAUGACGGCCUUCGGGUUGUAAACCGCUUUCGCCUGUGACGAAGCGUGAGUGACGGUAAUGGGUGAAGAAGCACCGGCUAACUACGUG